rnacentral:rRNA from 1 species
GACGAACGCUGGCGGCGUGCCUAAUACAUGCAAGUGGGACGCAAGGAAACACACUGUGCUUGCACACCGUGUUUUCUUGAGUCGCGAACGGGUGAGUAACGCGUAGGUAACCUGCCUAUUAGCGGGGGAUAACUAUUGGAAACGAUAGCUAAUACCGCAUAAUAUUAAUUAUUGCAUGAUAAUUGAUUGAAAGAUGCAAGCGCAUCACUAGUAGAUGGACCUGCGUUGUAUUAGCUAGUUGGUAAGGUAAGAGCUUACCAAGGCGACGAUACAUAGCCGACCUGAGAGGGUGAUCGGCCACACUGGGACUGAGACACGGCCCAGACUCCUACGGGAGGCAGCAGUAGGGAAUCUUCGGCAAUGGACGAAAGUCUGACCGAGCAACGCCGCGUGAGUGAAGAAGGUUUUCGGAUCGUAAAGCUCUGUUGUAAGUCAAGAACGUGUGUGAGAGUGGAAAGUUCACACAGUGACGGUAGCUUACCAGAAAGGGACGGCUAACUACGU